AUUCCAGCUCCAAUAGCGUAUAUUAAAGUUGUUGCAGUUAAAACGCUCGUAGUCGGAUUUCGGGGCGGGCCGACCGGUCUGCCGAUGGGUAUGCACUGGCCGGCGCGUCCUUCCACCCGGAGACCGCGCCUACUCUUAACUGAGCGGGCGCGGGAGACGGGUCUUUUACUUUGAAAAAAUCAGAGUGUUUCAAGCAGGCAGUCGCUCUUGCAUGGAUUAGCAUGGGAUAAUGAAAUAGGACUCUGGUGCCAUUUUGUUGGUUUGCACACCAAGGUAAUGAUUAAUAGGGAUAGUUGGGGGUAUUCGCAUUUAAUUGUCAGAGGUGAAAUUCUUGGAUUUAUGAAAGACGAACUUCUGCGAAAGCAUUUACCAAAGAUGUUUUCAUCA
rnacentral:rRNA from 1 species